AUCUUAAUGGCGUGUCUGAAUUGGUUAUUUUCUGUUUUCGCUUCACACGUUUUGGAUGAAGAGCUUUCACUCCUACUCUCUCGCCGCCUUGGAGACGUUACAACCUCCCAUUUUAUUGCAUAGACGUGCAUUUCCAUGACUUGUACGACCUGUGAUCCACAGCGCGCCCCUGGAUGCAGCCGGUGCGCAGCAACACGAGAAGCCACGUUUCUCCGAGAGCUCCGCGCCUGACGUCUGCCCCCUGACGGCCACGUCCACGAAGCCUGCUGUGUCUCCACUAAAGACUUCAAGUUUAAGGAUCACAUUAUAGAGGGGAAUCUUGACGUCUACUCCGGAAAACACUCAACCAUCACACCAUCUGCACCAUCGUCUGAAUUCAGAAUGACCAGAGGCAAACACCAGCACAAUGAGGACGCAAGCUUGUUUUUCCUCCUUGAAAACCUUCAGUGUGGAUUUCUUCCCAGAUGGACUUCCUGUGUUGCCCUGGAGACCAUUCAUCACCGUGACAACCAUGUACACCGCCUGCAGUUAUUGCUGGAGUCUAUUAUUAUAAGAAGAAAUGUGGCUCGAUGUACGGCACCCAGUCAAUGUGCAUGUGUGCGUGUGUGUGUGAAGAGGAUAAAGAGAGAGAGAGAGAAAUAAAAGUACAUUAAUGUAUACUGUACCCGUCAUCCAUAAUAUACAGGUAUAGUAUAUAUAUGGAUACAUUAAACCCAUACACCCUCUUGCACGUUCACUUUUUUUUCCACUUGAAGUUUUUCCCAGAGACUCAAUCCCAUGGUUCCAAGCAGAACACUUUAUAUCACUUUAGCUUACUUUACUGCCGUGUUAAACAGAGGACAGAGCAGUAAUGAAAAAGAACUGUCCUGAUUGAAAGUGCCACAGUUGCUACUGCUGCUUGUCUGCUGAGCAUUCACAAAAAAAUGGUAAUACAAAGUUCAAUUACAGGAUUAGAAAGGCUUAGAAUGGGCAGCAGUGCAGACAUAUAUGCGCACAAGUGGUUUAGAUAAACGUACUCAAAGAACACAAAUACAUAAUUAUAAUUAUCGUUACAUAAUCAGACACACACUGCCUACUUCUACUAAAGCAGUUUCAAUGGCCUUCAGAGCAGUGACUUGAUUCAUGUUAAUGAAAAAUCUAAAGUUGCUGCAAAUUAUCUGGAAAUGAGCCCUUGAUAAGAAAACAACCACUUUGAAAUAGUAGCUCAAAUUUAUUUGUAUUCUUUUUAUCCAUAUAAAAAGAUAUGCUUGUAUUUCUACAAGCAAAACUGCCGUAUGAAACUUUAAUGAUCACCAAUGGGAAUUUUAUAUCAUUGUGUAGCUACAUGGCUGGGAACUAAGAAAAGAUAGAAGAUGCAACAACAUUAAAACUCCACACAAUACACAAUGUUGUUCUGCAGUUUAGAGUUGGGAAUGGAAUCUACAGUGGACUGGGCCAGUGGACCAUUGAUGUAUUUCGCAUAAAGGGGCUUUAAUUCCACAAUGACACGGCAACAGUUCAAAAUAUGUAAAUUACCACAGCUAUUAAAGACAACUACAACGUGUAUUAAAAAGAAAUGAAGAGAUGUGCCCUUAAUUACAUCAUGUUGUGACAGAGAAAGAGAGAUCAUUAAAGUGGAACUGAACCCACUGGGAUUUAAACAUUCAAAUUCAGACAGAGGGUGACAACUCUAAUUAGGGGUUUCGCAGAGGAAAAAAAAGGCAUGUGUGAACGAAAACAUGUGUUCGUUAUUAGCAAAAAUAUCAGACUUCAUACAUAAGACACAUUAAAAAAGAUAGAUCAAAGUACAUACAUCUCUCAUGUCAUUUGAAAGAUAGAGACUUGAAUAAUAACUAAGAAGUAUUAUCUAAAAUGUGACUCGGGCCCUGUCUGAGAAUAAAAGUAUCAGGAACUUCUCAGUAUGAGAGAGCUCAUUAUUUUCAGGCUAAAAAAGUUUACUUCAGAUGGGGUUUUUUACUCUAUUUUUAUAUGGAUGUGUUGACCAGUUAUUCAUGAAAGGAUGUUAUGGAUGUACUUACAUUUAAAUGCUUAUACGUUCCUAAUACAUUAUUAGAAAAAUUUUACUUUAAAACAUCAUGAAUUUGAUCAAUAGGCCUUUUAUACUGCAGACACUUAAUGAUGGCUCUGUUCAGUUCAAGUGAGCAAAAUACCUGGAAACACCUGAAAAUGAAUCAGCUAACUGAGAUUCAACCACCAUUCAUUUGAUUAUUAUCCAUAAAGUUUUUACCAUCCUCAGAAGGAGGAAUUCUGCAUAAAAUAUGUAGAUACCGCUUGUGCUUUGCACGUUCACGUGACAAGUGUACAGUUCUCAGCAGCAGACAGACCUCAGCUUAACAACGGCUCAGCUCUUCAAAAGCGUACAGUGAGCGUGUUUCCUGGCUAUGCCGGUGCACAGGAUAAUAAUAUUUGCACAAUCUCAAACAUAGCCAUGUACUCUGGGUACAGACCAAAGAGUGGGAUUCUAGAUUGAGACUGAGAAAGCUCAAAAAUCUCAAAACAACUUGGUCCACUGCUCCUCUGUAGCCAGCUGAGAUGGUUCAGGCAACAUGCCAUGAGGCCCCCUGGGACUUUCUUUUUAGGUGUACUGGACACAUUCAACUGAGAGACCCUGGCAGACUAAGGACAUGCUAGAGUGAGUACAUCUCACAACUUGAAGACCUAGUAGUCUCACAGGAGUAAGUUGCUGGGAACAGGAUGUCUGGAUGGAUUUGCUUUCCCAGUUUUCAAUGAAAUCUGACAACAUGGACAUGUGUACUGCAACUGUCUCUCUGUGUGUGUGUGUGAGUGAAAUCGACAUUUGAACGGCAGACUUUUAAAAAUGACUUAGCCAGUAUGGUAUGGACAUUUACAGUGAAUGUCUGCUCUGUGGAAAUAGCAACUAAUCUGAGCAUGGCAUCUUUAUGUGUUAGUGUUUGGAUAAAUGUAUACUAUUAUGUUCUGUAUAAUAGCAAAGUUAAGUAAUAAAUAAUCAAUGAACAGCA